UACGGAGGGGGCUAGCGUUGUUCGGAAUUACUGGGCGUAAAGCGCACGUAGGCGGAUUAGUAAGUUGGGGGUGAAAUCCCAGGGCUCAACCCUGGAACUGCCCUCAAAACUACUAGUCUUGAGUUCGAGAGAGGUGAGUGGAAUUCCGAGUGUAGAGGUGAAAUUCGUAGAUAUUCGGAGGAACACCAGUGGCGAAGGCGGCUCACUGGCUCGAUACUGACGCUGAGGUGCGAAAGCGUGGGGAGCAAACAGG
rnacentral:rRNA from 1 species